UACUCGAGUGGCGAACGGGUGAGUAACACGUGGGUGAUCUGCCCUGCACUUCGGGAUAAGCUUGGGAAACUGGGUCUAAUACCGGAUAGGAACCAUCUUUAGUGUGGUGGUUGGAAAGUUUUUUCGGUGUAGGAUGAGCUCGCGGCCUAUCAGCUUGUUGGUGGGGUAAUGGCCUACCAAGGCGGCGACGGGUAGCCGGCCUGAGAGGAUGUACGGCCACAUUGGGACUGAGAUACGGCCCAGACUCCUACGGGAGGCAGCAGUGGGGAAUAUUGCACAAUGGGCGCAAGCCUGAUGCAGCGACGCCGCGUGGGGGAUGAAGGCCUUCGGGUUGUAAACUCCUUUCGCUAGGGACGAAGCUUUUUGUGACGGUACCUAGAUAAGAAGCACCGGCUAACUACGUGCCAGCAGCCGCGGUAAUACGUAGGGUGCGAGCGUUGUCCGGAAUUACUGGGCGUAAAGGGCUCGUAGGUGGUUUGUCGCGUCGUCUGUGAAAUUCUGGGGCUUAACUCCGGGCGUGCAGGCGAUACGGGCAUAACUUGAGUGCUGUAGGGGUAACUGGAAUUCCUGGUGUAGCGGUGAAAUGCGCAGAUAUCAGGAGGAACACCGAUGGCGAAGGCAGGUUACUGGGCAGUUACUGACGCUGAGGAGCGAAAGC
rnacentral:rRNA from 1 species